UCAAGAAAAGACCUUUGAUCAGGAGAAGACUUCUCGUCUCAUUUCUGGGGACACAUUCAGGAUUUCUCCAAAGCAAAUAGAAUCCAUGAAACUGCAAAUGAUUCUACAAAUGGAGCCCCAAAUGACCACCACUAGCACCUGCUAUCGAGGACCCCUAGACCAACCCACCAAUCUGUUCUUGCACCAUGACACUGAAGACUCCCCUCCUGAGGAAGGCUCAACUGCAGAGCCCCUUCUACACCCCAGUUCAGCAGGAAGUAGCUAGAAUGAUUGUUGCCCAACUUCCCAACGGCACUUGGGCUUUCCUUUUGAGAGGAGGGACUGAGGGACUAAGUGGCUAAGUUGGCUGGACUUCCUGGGUCAAUAGGGACUUCCCUAAGGGAACUUUCCCCUAAGCCAAAAUGAGUUAUAGCUGCAAACUAAGGGAUUGAACCUUCAACCAAUCAUAUAGGGAGUUUAAGCUCUAGCCGCAGCCUGAUGUUUUUAACCAAUCACGCCCACCUACCCACAAGUGGAUAGAAAAUAAGCUAAUUCUAUAGGACAGAAAAAGAAAAAGGGGAGGGGUCAUAAGGGGAUAUAAGUAUAAGACACCCAAGCCAAAAAUGGCAGCCCUUUCAGGUCCCCUUCUACCAUGUGGAAACUUUACUUUCACUUUAAUAAAUC
rnacentral:lncRNA from 1 species